rnacentral:rRNA from 1 species
UACGUAGGUGGCGAGCGUUGUCCGGAAUUACUGGGUGUAAAGGGCGUGUAGGCGGGUAGAUAAGUCAGAUGUGAAAUACCGGGGCUCAACCCCGGGGCUGCAUUUGAAACUGUCAAUCUUGAGUGCCGGAGAGGAAAGCGGAAUUCCUAGUGUAGCGGUGAAAUGCGUAGAUAUUAGGAGGAACACCAGUGGCGAAGGCGGCUUUCUGGACGGUAACUGACGCUGAGGCGCGAAAGCGUGGGGAGCAA